rnacentral:rRNA from 1 species
GACGAAGGUGGCGAGCGUUACUCGGAAUCACUAGGCGUAAAGCGCGUGUAGGCGGAUGCUUAAGUCCGACGUGAAAUUUCCCGGCUUAACCGGGAAGGGUCGUCGGAUACUGGGCAUCUUGAGUGGAGCAGGGGAUGCCGGAAUUCCUGGUGUAGCGGUGAAAUGCGCAGAUAUCAGGAGGAACACCCGUGGCGAAGGCGGGCAUCUGGGCUUCUACUGACGCUGAGACGCGAAAGCUAGGGGAGCAAACAGG